rnacentral:rRNA from 1 species
GACGAACGCUGGCGGCGUGCUUAACACAUGCAAGUCGAACGGAGUGGCGAACGGGUGAGUAAAACGUGGGUGAUCUGCCUUGCACUCUGGGAUAAGCUUGGGUAACUGGGUCUAAUACCGGAUAGUGCAAGAUGAGCUCGCGGCCUAUCAGCUUGUUGGUGGGGUAAUGGCCUACCAAGGCGUCGACGGGUAGCCGGCCUGAGAGGGUGUACGGCCACAUUGGGUCUGAGCUACGGCCCAGACUCCUACGGUAGGCAGCAGUGGGGAAUAUUGCCCAAUGGGCGGAAGCCUGAUUCAGCGACGCCGCGUGGGGGAUGACGGCCUUCGUGUUGUAACCUCCUUUCGACAGGGACGCGGUACCUGUAUAAGAAGCACCGGCUAACUCCGUGCCAGCAGCCGCGGUAAUUC